rnacentral:rRNA from 1 species
CCUACGGGGGGCUGCAGUGGGGAAUAUUGGACAAUGGGGGGAACCCUGAUCCAGCCAUGCCGCGUGUGUGAAGAAGGCCCUCGGGUUGUAAAGCACUUUCAGUGAGGAAGAACGCCUGGUGGUUAAUACCCAUCAGGAAAGACAUCACUCACAGAAGAAGCACCGGCUAACUCCGUGCCAGCAGCCGCGGUAAUACGGAGGGUGCGAGCGUUAAUCGGAAUUACUGGGCGUAAAGCGCGCGUAGGUGGCUUGAUAAGCCGGUUGUGAAAGCCCCGGGCUCAACCUGGGAACGGCAUCCGGAACUGUCAAGCUAGAGUGCAGGAGAGGAAGGUAGAGUUCCCGGUGUAGCGGUGAAAUGCGUAGAGAUCGGGAGGAAUACCAGUGGCGAAGGCGGCCUUCUGGACUGACACUGACACUGAGGUGCGAAAGCGUGGGUAGCAAACAGGAUUAGAUACCCCUGUAGUC